UGAAUGAAAAAUAAAAAAAGAAUCAUCUCAGAUCUCAUCUCCUAGAAGUCUAGCUUAAUCUCUGUUUGCUAGAACACUCUUCCAAAAGUUAAUUUUUCUAUAUAUUUUGUAUUGAAUUUUCUGUAUAUACAUUGUUUUCCUGCAAUAGAAUGUCAGUUCCCUGAAGACAGCGACCAUUUGGGGUUUUGUCUGCAUAUUCCAGAGUAUAACACGGUACCUGACAAAUGUCAAUGGAC
rnacentral:lncRNA from 1 species